UACGUAGGGGGCAAGCGUUGUCCGGAUUUAUUGGGCGUAAAGAGCGUGUAGGCGGCUGGGUAGGUCCGUUGUGAAAACUCGAGCUCAACCUCGAGACGCCGAUGGAAACCCUCCGAGCUAGAGUCCGGAAGAGGAGAGUGGAAUUCCUGGUGUAGCGGUGAAAUGCGCAGAUAUCAGGAAGAACACCCGUGGCUAAGGCGGCUCUCUAGUACGGUACUGACGCUGAGACGCGAAAGCGUGGGGAGCGAACAGG
rnacentral:rRNA from 1 species